rnacentral:rRNA from 1 species
AAUGAACGCUGGCGGCAGGCCUAAACAUGCAAGUCGAACGCUGUAGCAAUACAGAGUGGCGCACGGGUGAGUAACAUGUGGGAAUAUGCCUAUUGGUACGGAACAACGUUUGGAAACGAACGCUAAUACCGUAUGGUCCCUUCGGGGUAAAGAUUUAUCGCCAAUAGAUUAGCCCGCACUAGAUUAGCUAGUUGGUGAGGUAAGAGCUCACCAAGCCGACGAUCGGUAGCUGGUCUGAGAGGAUGAUCAGCACACUGGGACUGAGAUACGGCCCAGACUCCUACGGGAGGCAGCAGUGGGGAAUAUUGGACAAU